UCCUAGUAUUUUUUAAAAUCUCAGGGGGGCCCAAUGACCCCCCUGCCCCACCCCUAGCUCCGCCCCUGGUGGGGACGGUGGAGGGACUCGUGCAUACGGCAGACGUCCGCACGCGCGGUUCACCAAUGCGAGCUGGGAUACGCAGAGUGGCCUUGGAGAAUCCGGCAGCGGUAGCGGCAGUGGCAGCGGAUGCGGCGGCGGCAGGUGGGGGAGCCAUUGGGCUUGUGGGGUGAUGGGGUAGAGCCAGAGGGUGAGGAUCAGAAUGGCGGCUGCUUCUAAUUUGAGGGCCAUUUUUUUUGCAAGUGUUUGUUGAAAU
rnacentral:lncRNA from 1 species